CCUACGGGAGGCAGCAGUGGGGAAUAUUGGGCAAUGGGCGCAAGCCUGACCCAGCAACGCCGCGUGAAGGAAGAAGGCUUUCGGGUUGUAAACUUCUUUUCUCAGGGACGAAGAAAGUGACGGUACCUGAGGAAUAAGCCAAGGCUAACUACGUGCCAGCAGCAGCGGCAAUACGGGGGUGGCAAGCGUUAUCCGGAUUUAUUGGGUGUAAAGGGCGUGUAGGCGGGAGCGCUAAUCAGAUGUGAAAACUCAGGGUGCAACCCUAAGCCGGCAGUUGAAACUGGGUGUCUUGAGUGCUGGAGAGGCAAUCGGAAUUCCGGGUGUAGCGGUGAAAUGCGUAGAUAUACGGAGGAACACCAGUGGCGAAGGCGGAUUGCUGGACAGUAACUGACGCUGAGGCGCGAAAGCGUGGGGAGCAAACAGGAUUAGAUACCCCAGUAGUC
rnacentral:rRNA from 1 species